rnacentral:rRNA from 1 species
UGGGGAAUAUUGCACAAUGGGCGAAAGCCUGAUGCAGCGACGCCGCGUGAGGGAUGACGGCCUUCGGGUUGUAAACCUCUUUCAGCAGGGAAGAAGCGAAAGUGACGGUACCUGCAGAAGAAGCGCCGGCUAACUACGUGCCAGCAGCCGCGGUAAUACGUAGGGCGCAAGCGUUGUCCGGAAUUAUUGGGCGUAAAGAGCUCGUAGGCGGUUAGUCGCGUCUGCUGUGAAAACUCGAGGCUCAACCUCGGGCUUGCAGUGGGUACGGGCUGACUAGAGUGCGGUAGGGGUGACUGGAAUUCCUGGUGUAGCGGUGGAAUGCGCAGAUAUCAGGAGGAACACCGAUGGCGAAGGCAGGUCACUGGGCCGCAACUGACGCUGAGGAGCGAAAGCAUGGGGAGCGAACAGGAUUAGAUAGCCCUGGUAGUCCAUGCCGUAAACGUUGGGCACUAGGUGUGGGGUCCAUUCCACGGAUUCCGUGCCGCAGCAAACGCAUUAAGUGCCCCGCCUGGGGAGUACGGCCGCAAGGCUAAAACUCAAAUGAAUUGACGGGGUC